AUAAACAAAUUGAUGCUUAUUAAAAAGUUAGAAGCUUUUU
rnacentral:tRNA from 1 species